rnacentral:rRNA from 1 species
UACGGAGGGAGCUAGCGUUGUUCGGAAUUACUGGGCGUAAAGCGCACGUAGGCGGCUUUGUAAGUUAGAGGUGAAAGCCCGGGGCUCAACCCCGGAAUUGCCUUUAAGACUGCAUCGCUUGAAUCCGGGAGAGGUGAGUGGAAUUCCGAGUGUAGAGGUGAAAUUCGUAGAUAUUCGGAAGAACACCAGUGGCGAAGGCGACCUACUGGACACAUAUUGACGCUGAGGUGCGAAAGCGUGGGGAGCAAACAGG